rnacentral:lncRNA from 1 species
AUUGACUCAACUCAUGAUGUGACUGACACCAUAAUCCUACCAGUGUCCUAAACCUCAAUUUUCUUUUUUUGUUUUUUGUUUUUUGUUUUUGAGAUGGAGUCUCGCUCUGUCACCCAGGCUGGAGUGCAGUGACGCGAUCUCGGCUCACUGCAACCCCUGCCUCCCAGGUUCAAGUGAUUCUCCUGCCUCAGCCUCCCGAGUAGCUGGGAUUACAGGCGGCUGCCACCGUGCCCAGCUAAUUAUUGUAUUUUUAGUAGAGACGGGGUUUCACUAUCUUGGCCAGGCUG